rnacentral:rRNA from 1 species
AUUGAACGCUGGCGGCAGGCCUAACACAUGCAAGUCGAGCGAGCGGCGGACGGGUGAGUAAUGUAGGGGGCCUGCCCGAUAGAGGGGGAUAACUACUGGAAACGGUAGCUAAUCCCGCAUACAAUCGGAUAACCCAUAUGGGAUUAGCUAGUAGGUGGGGUAAUGGCUCACCAAGGCGACGAUCCCUAGCUGGUCUGAGAGGAUGAUCAGCCACACUGGGACUGAGACACGGCCCAGACUCCUACGGAGGCAGCAGUGGGGAAUAUGGGACAACGGGCGAAAGCCUGAUGCAGCCAUGCCGCGUGUAUGAAGAAGGCCCUAGGGUUGGAAAGUACUUUCAGUCGGGAGGCGUUACCGACAGAAGAAGCACCGGCUAACUCCGUGCCAGCAGCCGCGGUAAUUC